CUUGCUCUUCUGAUGUUAACGGCGGACGGGUGAGUAACACGUAGGCUACCUGCCCGACAGACUGGGAUAACUCCGUGGAAACCGGAUGCUAAUACCAGAUACGCAUUGAAGGGGCAUCACUUCACUGAGAAAGACCAUGCGUCACUGUCGGAUGGGCCUGCGGCGCAUUACCUAGUUGGUGAGGUAACAGCUCACCAACGCGACGAUGCGUACCCAACCUGAGACGGUGAUCGGCCACACUGGGACUGAGACACAGCCCAGACUCCUACGGCAGGCAUCAUUAGGGAAUCUUCCGCAAUGGACGAAAGUCUGACGGAUCAACGCCUCGUGAACGAUGAAAGUUUUCGGAUCGUAAAGUUCUGUUGGUAGGGAAUAACCGCCGGGAUGACCUCCCGGUCUGACGGUACCUACCGAGAAAGCCCCGACUAACUACGUGCCAACAGCCGCGAUAAUACGUCUGGGGUAAGCGUUGUACGGAAUUAUUGCGCGUAAAGAGCGCGCAUUCAGCUUUCUAAUUCAGGUGUGAAAGCCCACGGCUCAACCGUGGAGGGCCAACUUGAACUGUCAGAGUUGACUGCAGGACAGGAGACGGGAAUUCCACGUGUAGCGGUGAAAUGCGUAGAGAUGUGCAGGAAACCCCGUGGCGAAGGCCGAUCUCUGGCCUGUACUGCACUCAGCACGAAGCUGCGGACGAAAGGAUUAAUCCCUGUA
rnacentral:rRNA from 1 species